UCUGGGAAAAAAAUGGCUGUCAUUCCUCAGUUUCUAAUUUCUCACAUGCUGGGGAAGCGGGUACUCUGUCCUUGGGUCUACAGAGCGACCUGCUAUUAGCUGUGCCCAUCCCUGAGGAGCAUGCAGCAGCCGGCCAACCGAUUGAGGACGCUAUACAGGCUGCACUGGCAGAGGCCAAUGCCAAAGGCAUUAGAAGAAGAGAUGUGACGCCCCCUUCAUCCUUCAAAAAGGUCAACGAAUUGACCAGAGGAAAGUCCGUCCUAGCUAGUUACCUUCUCAGAUCAAUACCGUGACACAAGAAACUAUGGUAGAGGUAGAGAGAGAGAAUCAAUCUCAGUGUAAGGUUAGACAUUGUGGCGAAAAAAGGUAAUGAUCUGACAUAUUGUUGUUCUUAAAAAAUAUAUAUAUAUUAUAUAUUUAUAUAUCUUUCUCCAUAUAACUUUAUAUGAGGUCCCUUAACCUCAUAUUCCCAAAGAUAUCGCUCAUGCAUAAUAGUGCCAGGUUGGGCAGGCAGAUAGCCUGUGCACUGUCUGAACGAAUACAGAAGAAGAGGACUAUUCCUGGUCUUCGCAUAAAAAGAGGAAGAGAAAGAUUCUGACUAUCAAAAAUAGUGAGUACUAGUCAUAUGUUCCUCAUCAAAUGCAGGUGAACCCCUCUUAUCUUGUCUUAUAGAGUGCACCAUCUUUCCCCACUUUAGUUUGAGCAUGAUGGACAGUGUGUGACAUGCUUGCUGUACAAUACCACUGUGGCUUGUUUUUAAAAAAAAAUCAUAGGUGGCGUGAACGUGGAUUUUAUUGCAAUGGGGAAAACAGAGUAGCUUGUGGUACGUUCACAGAAACUCACACAAGCUUCACAUAGGCUUACAUCAAACACACUGUACUGUAUACUGUAGGCAUAUGUCUACAACAUUCAGAUUAUGUUAAUAUAAUGGGUUUAUUUGAUUGAGACAUAACUACUUUUACAUUUCACAUUUGGACAGACGAAUACUGGAAUUGUUGGCCCUGGUGGAGUAGGAAGGAACCUUGCCGACUCUCUGAACAGAAUGGGACAAAGACCUCUGUUCAUCUCAGCCAUUGGAACUGACUCUCACAGUGUUGCUGUACUGAACUAGUCUCAGCACAUGUGCACCAGUGGCGUCGCCAGGCUUCAAGAGCAGAGGACCGCAACUUAUUGUGCCGGGAUGACUGAGAACGGUGACCUGAGUCUCGGAUUGGGCGACAGGCAUAACCGCCAGCAAAUCACAGAACAGUAUGUGAGUAUUUCUGAAGCAGGUACGAGACAUCAAAGUCUACAUAUAUCAAGUUGUUGUUGUUGUUGUUGAUAUAUUUGUUGUUGUUGUUGAGAAUAGCACUGAAAUAAUAACAACUUUACCCAGGACUAAAUUAGAGGGAAUGUCAAAAUAUUUCAACAAACAGGUGUCCCAGUUUGAGGAAAACGUUUCAGGGGUUUUCUCUCAUGUGUCUGUAUGGCAACCACAAUCGACAGUCGUCAAUAGUGAUCGAUCACCAUUUCUUCACCAUCCGUGUCACUGUUUCACCUGUCUUUGUGCUGGUCUCCCCCACCAGGUGUCCCCUCAUUAUCCCCUGUGUAUUAAUACCUGCGUACUCUGUUUGUCUGUUGCUACUUUGGCUUGUCCCGACAAGUCCUACCAUCGUGUUCCCUGUGCUCUAGUUUUUGGUUGUCUUAGUCUUCACAGUUCUGACCUUUCUGCCUGUCCUGAUCCUGCCCGCUGUCCUGUACCUGCCCGACUCUGAUUUGGAUUACAACCCUUUGCCUGCCCCUUGAACUAUAAUAAACUCUGAGACUCGUACUAUCUGCCUCCUGUGUCUGCAUCUGGGUCUUAGCCUGAGCCGUGAUAAUCGGUGCAUGUCUGUUUGAUCAGGGUCCAUUCACAAAGAAUCUGAGUAGAAGUGCUGAUCUAAGAUCAGGUCCCCCCCUCUCCAUAUUAUCUUAUUCGCCAUGAUUUAAAAGGCAAAACUGAUCCGAUAUCAACAGCACUCCAUCUCUGAGACGCUUUAUACAUACGGACCCUGAUCUGAUAAACUUGUGUUGCAGUGUGGUAUGAGCCAGCUAAUUCUGACAAGGCAUACAAUCAUCUCCUGUCUGACAGCUGGAAGGCCCUGGCCUCCACCUCCCCCAACCUGGCUGAGCUGUGUACCAUGAAUAAGACAUUAGGCCUUCCAAAACCUUCAGUCUUGCAGUUGGGAUAACGGCUGGGAUGUUCCCGGGCAGAGACAGUCAAAGCUGUGUUAAGAUGGGGCUCCUGGCAACAUGCCUGUCACUGCCCUCGCCACACCCCACCUGCCCAACUCUGACCACAGACUAUGUUGAACCAAACAAUGUCCAACCACCCCAACCCUGGCCACCCUUAUGUGGAUGGAGGAAUGAGGAACAACUAUCUUUAUUAUGCUGUUCGACCAUCAAAAUAACUUUUCAAUGAUUAGUUAAAACGCCUCAUCUACCACAGUGACAGAAUGGUGAUAAUUUGCAUACAUUUGAAAUAAAAUACUUUUAUUUUUA